CUCUUAUUCAGCUUGGUAGUGCUUAAGAUCAUCUUUAAUUGAAGAGAUGUUACAUAAAACCACAAAACUGCAAAAGUUUUCUAGUUAACAGUUAAUCUGGAGUAACAUUUUAACUUUCUUUAAUCACAAAAUCAUCUACUCUGCUAAUUAAUUGCUAAACAUUAUCAUCAUCUAUUUUUACUCUCCAGCCAUAGGACUUAAGCUCAAGUCCUUUUCAAAAUAAACCUAUAAGCCUUCCCCAUCCUAUGGAAGUUGUAAACUAGAAAAACAACAGAUUUAGCUGGUCUCUAUUGGGCUAGUUUUUUAUUUCCCUUCUUCCUCUAUGCAUAUAAACAUUUUUCCUCAAUGAAGCAAGAAAAAUUGGGCUCAUUUAUUUUAUAAAUUAAACUAUAGGAAGAACAACUAUAAAGUAUUGAGAUUAACCUACUUCUUCCAACACACCCGUAAGCACGUGCAGAAUAAGAAGUAUCAGACAAGUUCAGCCCUUCAGACAAGCCCCCUAGGGAGACUAUAACUUUGUGCCAGUCACACUUCACACUUCUAAAUACUAUUUUAGAACUUAUAAAGCUAGUUUUCCAGUCACAUCAGAAAAUUUCAACCCACUACUUUAGGAUCUUAUCUCACUUUUCACCAAAAACUUUAUCACCCAGCUUUCUGCUUCACAACACCUGUUACAAGGUUCCAUUCCGGGUGACUCUUACAAGUUUCCAAAAAUCAAAUCCACAUAGGACAAGAAUUUUCACCACUGAGAAUAUGCAGAAGAAUGUAGGACAAUUCUCAGAGUAACUCACAAGAAGUAUUCAAAUAUGAUUAAUGCAAUGGCACAUUGUUGAAACAUACAUAUUUGGAUAUAUAAAUCUCACGUGCUUGUUAAAGUUAUAGGCACAAUGUAUGAGCUUCCAUUUGUAAUCUUCAAAAGAGAUACUCAUGAGAGGAAAGGCAAUCAGAAAGAGGGAGGAUUAGUAAUGUUAUAAAACUUCAUGAAUGUACUAAAACCACUGAACUGUACACUUUAAUGGGUCAAUUUUAUGGUAUGUAACAUAUCUCAAUAAAACUUAAUUUUUUUUAAAGAGGGGAGAUUGUAAACUAAAAGAGUGACUUGGAAGAGGGAGUGAUUUUAACUUAGUGAGAUGAGACAGAUUCUAAGGAUACUGUGCAGUUCAAGGAGAUUCUAAGAAGGUGUUACUGAGAAACUAAGAGCCAGAUUUGAGACUGGCAUGGAAGGAAAAAUGUGAAGCCUAAAGAGCAAUCAGCAAGGAGGAAACUCAGCUUGAGAAGACAAAACAAGCAGAGAGAGAAUGAGUGAGGGGGCAUGUACCAGUCACAGAGCACAAAUGCAAGAGAACCUCCGACUAAGUAAUCCCACUCUGCCUUCAGGGGUGCACUAGUCUAACUGCUGAAGAAACCUUGGCUAGGCCUGGCAAGGGGUUAAAUAGCUCAUCUAAACUUGCUGCUUCAGCAACAUGUAUUUGGGAUUUGCAGAAAAUUUUACUUCCUGCCAAUUUCAUGGAAAAAUAGUUUUUAAAUAUUUCACUUGAAAAUUGCCAGUGAAAUUAAUAGUCUUAUAUAUCCUUUAUUCCGUUUCUCUUCCUCAUCUGUGUUACUUUUACUAAUGUUUCUCCUUCUCUCAAGUUUCUAUCCUUCCUUGCCUAGCUACCAUUGCUUCUCCCCUCAUUCUUAGAUCUCUGGAAAGGUUCCUGCUGCUUCCUGAUUUCAACCAUUCAAGUCCUUCAUAAAUAUUUCUUGAAUGAAUACUUGGUGACAGAUAUCAUGAGAUUCCUGGAUCCCUGCUCACAAUGAGCUUACAGUCUAGUAAGCGCUGUCACCCACUGGCCUUUUCCAUCUCCCUCUCUUUCUUUCCUGUGUCUCUACCUUGCCAGUCUCUUUUACUCUUCUCUCCCCACUGUCACUCCUUAAAGUCUGGGCUAGAGCCUUAUGAGUGGAAUCAGUUAAAGCAAUACUGUGUAAACCAUCUAACUGAAGAGGAUGUGCCACUGCUGGGAUGAGAACCACACAGUGGGUGGAACUGAAGGCUUGAGUCACAGUGCUUGGGUUCAGACUGUCU
rnacentral:lncRNA from 10 species